CGUAUGGCGACCGGGCGCACGGGUGAGUAACGCGUAUGCAACCUGCCCGAUACCGGGGUAUAGCCCAUGGAAACGUGGAUUAACACCCCAUAGUACUUUUAUCCUGCCUGGGAUGGGAGUUAAAUGUUCAAGGCAUCGGAUGGGCAUGCGUCCUAUUAGUUAGUUGGCGGGGUAACAGCCCACCAAGACGAUGAUAGGUAGGGGUUCUGAGAGGAAGGUCCCCCACAUUGGAACUGAGACACGGUCCAA
rnacentral:rRNA from 1 species